rnacentral:rRNA from 1 species
CCUACGGGCGGCAGCAGUAGGGAAUAUUGCUCAAUGGGGGAAACCCUGAAGCAGCAACGCCGCGUGGAGGAUGAAGGUUUUCGGAUUGUAAACUCCUUUUGUUAGAGAAGAUAAUGACGGUAUCUAACGAAUAAGCACCGGCUAAAUCCGUGCCAGCAGCCGCGGUAAUACGGAGGGUGCAAGCGUUACUCGGAAUCACUGGGCGGAAAGAGCGCGGAGGCGGGGCAGUAAGCCAGAUGUGAAAUCCUAUGGCUUAACCACAGAACUGCAUUUGAAACUGUUAUUCUAGAGUAUGGGAGAGGUAGGUGGAAUUCUUGGUGUAGGGGUAAAAUCCGGAGAGAUUAAGAGGAAUACUCAUGGCGAAGGCGACCUGCUAGAACAUAACUGACGCUGAUGCGCGAAAGCGUGGGGAGCAAACAGGAUUAGAUACCCGGGUAGUC